rnacentral:rRNA from 1 species
GGCGAACGCUGGCGGCGUGCUUAACACAUGCAAGUCGAACGGAAAGACCCUGUUUUUGUGGGGCGCUCGAGUGGCGAACGGGUGAGUAACACGUGAGUAACCUGCCCUUGACUUUGGGAUAACUUCAGGAAACUGGGGCUAAUACCGGAUAGGAGCUCCUGCUGCAUGGUGGGGGUUGGAAAGUUUCGGCGGUUGGGGAUGGACUCGCGGCUUAUCAGCUUGUUGGUGGGGUAGUGGCUUACCAAGGCUUGGACGGUUAGCCGGCCUGAGUGGGUGACCGGCCAAAUUGGGACUGGGUUACGGCCCGGACUCCUACGGGAGGCAGCAGUGGGGAAUAUUGCACAAUGGGCGGAAGCCUGAUGCAGCAACGCCGCGUGCGGGAUGACGGCCUUCGGUUUUUAAACCGCUUUCGCCUGUAACGAGGCGUGAGUGACGGUAAUGGGUAAAGAAGCACCGGCUAACUACGUG